rnacentral:rRNA from 1 species
UACGGAGGGUGCAAGCGUUAUCCGGAUUCACUGGGUUUAAAGGGUGCGUAGGUGGGUUGGUAAGUCAGUGGUGAAAUCUCCGAGCUUAACUUGGAAACUGCCAUUGAUACUAUCAGUCUUGAAUAUUGUGGAGGUCAGCGGAAUAUGUCAUGUAGCGGUGAAAUGCUUAGAUAUGACAUAGAACACCAAUUGCGAAGGCAGCUGGCUACACAUAUAUUGACACUGAGGCACGAAAGCGUGGGGAGCAAACGGG